UGGAUUAGGCAUGCAAGUCGAACGGGAUCCAGGGCUAUAGCAAUAUAAUCCUGGUGAGAGUGGCGUAAGGGUGAGUAACGCGUGGGUAAUCUACCUCUAUGUUGGGGAUAACUCGCCGAAAGGUGAGCUAACACCGAAUGUGGUCGGCUCUCAUAAGGGAGAUGGAUUAAAGACGGGGAUCCUUCGGGACCUGUCGCAUGGAGAUGAGCCCGCGUGCCAUCAGCUAGUUGGUGAGGUAAUGGCUCACCAAGGCUUACGGCUAGCUGGUCUGAGAGGAUGACCAGCCACACUGGGACUGAGACACUGCCCAGACUCCUACGGGAGGCUGCAGUCGAGGAUCUUGGACAAUGGGGGCAACCCUGAUCCAGCGACGCUGCGUGGAGGAUGAAGGCCUUCGGGUUGUAAACUCCUGUCAUUCGGGAAAAACGGCUCCGGGAUUAAUACUCCCGGGGAGUGAUGGUACCGGAAGAGGAAGCCACGGCUAACUCUGUGCCAGCAGCCGCGGUA
rnacentral:rRNA from 1 species